rnacentral:rRNA from 1 species
GGGGGGGGUUUCCGGAUUAUUGGGCGUAAGAGCUCGUAGGCGGUUUGUCGCGUCUGCCGUGAAAGUCCGGGGCUCAACUCCGGAUCUGCGGUGGGUACGGGCAGACUAGAGUGAUGUAGGGGAGACUGGAAUUCCUGGUGUAGCGGUGAAAUGCGCAGAUAUCAGGAGGAACACCGAUGGCGAAGGCAGGUCUCUGGGCAUUAACUGACGCUGAGGAGCGAAAGCAUGGGGAGCGAACAGGAUUAGAUACCCUGGUAGUCCAUGCCGUAAACGUUGGGCACUAGGUGUGGGGGACAUUCCACGUUUUCCGCGCCGUAGCUAACGCAUUAAGUGCCCCGCCUGGGGAGUACGGCCGCAAGGCUAAAACUCAAAGGAAUUGACGGGGGCCCGCACAAGCGGCGGAGCAUGCGGAUUAAUUCGAUGCAACGCGAAGAACCUUACCAAGGCUUGACAUGAACCAGUAAGACCUGGAAACAGGUCCCCCACUUGUGGCCGGUUUACAGGUGGUGCAUGGUUGUCGUCAGCUCGUGUCGUGAGAUGUUGGGUUAAGUCCCGCAACGAGCGCAACCCUCGUUCCAUGUUGCCAGCGCGUUAUGGCGGGGACUCAUGGGAGACUGCCGGGGUCAACUCGGAGGAAGGUGGGGACGACGUCAAAUCAUCAUGCCCCUUAUGUCUUGGGCUUCACGCAUGCUACAAUGGCCGGUACAAAGGGUUGCGAUACUGUGAGGUGGAGCUAAUCCCAAAAAGCCGGUCUCAGUUCGGAUUGGGGUCUGCAACUCGACCCCAUGAAGUCGGAGUCGCUAGUAAUCGCAGAUCAGCAACGCUGCGGUGAAUACGUUCCCGGGCCUUGUACACACCGCCCGUCAAGUCACGAAAGUUGGUAACACCCGAAGCCGGUGGCCUAACCCCUUGUGGGAGGGAGCUGUCGAAGGUGGGACUGGCGAUUGGGACUAAGUCGUAACAAGGUAACC